GUAGGGAAUCUUGGACAAUGGAGGAAACUCUGAUCCAGCCAUGCCGCGUGAGUGAUGAAGGCCUUCGGGUUGUAAAACUCUUUCGACGGGGACGAUAAUGACGGUACCCGUAGAAGAAGCUCCGGCUAACUUCGUGCCAGCAGCCGCGGUAAUACGAAGGGGGCUAGCGUUGUUCGGAUUUACUGGGCGUAAAGCGCGCGCAGGCGGCUUUGCAAGUUGAGGGUGAAAUCCCAGAGCUCAACUCUGGAAUUGCCUUCAAGACUGUGAGGCUUCGAGUACGGGAGAGGUGAGUGGAAUUCCCAGUGUAGAGGUGAAAUUCGUAGAUAUUGGGAAGAACACCGGUGGCGAAGGCGGCUCACUGGCCCGUUACUGACGCUCAGGCGCGACAGCGUGGGGAUCAAACAGGAUUAGAUACCCCUGUAGUCC
rnacentral:rRNA from 1 species